GACAGGGCUGGUGGAGUAGCCGCCACUUCCUGGAGCCGCCGGCCGGGGCCGCUCGCAGCACUCAGCGCCGGAGCCGGGAGCCCGCGGCCGCCGCCAUGUCCCAUCAGACCGGCAUCCAAGCAAGUGAGGAUGUUAAAGAUAUUUUUGCCAGAGCAAGAAAUGGAAAAUACAGACUUCUGAAGAUAUCGAUUGAAAAUGAGAAACUUGUGGUUGGAGCGUGUAGGCAGCCUUUAGAUUCCUGGGAUAAGGAUUAUGAUUCCUUUGUUUUACCCCUGUUGGAGGACAAACAACCGUGCUACGUAUUAUUCAGGUUAGAUUCUCAGAAUGCCCAGGGAUAUGAAUGGAUAUUCAUUGCGUGGUCUCCAGACCAUUCUCAUGUUCGUCAAAAAAUGUUGUAUGCAGCAACAAGAGCAACUCUGAAAAAGGAGUUUGGAGGUGGCCACAUUAAAGAUGAAGUGUUUGGAACAGUAAAGGAAGAUGUGUCAUUACAUGGAUAUAAGAAAUAUUUGCUGUCACAGUCUUCUCCUGCCCCACUGACUGCAGCUGAAGAAGAAUUACGACAGAUUAAAAUUAAUGAGGUACAAACUGACGUGAGUGUGGACACUAAGCAUCAAACACUACAAGGAGUAGCAUUUCCUAUUUCUCGAGAAGCUUUUCAGGCUUUGGAAAAAUUGAAUAACAGACAGCUCAACUAUGUGCAGUUGGAAAUAGAUAUAAAAAAUGAAAUUAUAAUUUUGGCCAACACAAUAAAUACAGAACUAAAAGAUUUGCCAAAGAGGAUUCCCAGAGAUUCAGCACGUUAUCAUUUCUUUCUGUAUAAACAUUCCCAUGAAGGAGACUAUUUGGAGUCUAUAGUUUUUAUUUAUUCAAUGCCUGGAUACACAUGCAGUAUAAGAGAACGGAUGCUGUAUUCUAGCUGCAAGAGCCCUCUGCUAGAGAUUGUAGAAAGACAACUACAAAUGGAUGUCAUUAGAAAGAUCGAGAUAGACAAUGGGGAUGAGUUGACUGCAGACUUCCUUUAUGAAGAAGUACACCCCAAGCAGCAUGCACAUAAACAAAGUUUUGCAAAACCAAAAGGUCCUUCAGGAAAAAGAGGAAUUCGAAGACUAAUUAGGGGUCCAGCUGAAACUGAAGCCACUACUGAUUAAAAUUAUUACAAUACUAGUUUUUUUAAAAGUCCAGCUUUUAGUACAGGAGAACUGAAAUCAUUCCACGUUGAUGUAUAGUAGGGGAAAAAUUGUACUUUUUGAAAAUCAGCACUUUUCACUUCUGUGUGUUUUUAAAUUAAUGUUAUAGAAGACUCAUGAUUUCUAUUUUUGAGUUAAAACUAGAAAAGGGUUUGACAUAAUGAUGUUUAAUUUCAUCACAGUUUUCAUAGAGUGAUGAUUCCACACUUUCACAUAGUUCUUAAAAUUUUAUAGAGUUGGGCCAAUUCCAGAAAAUCUAAAGUAAGAUACAAUUCUUAUUACUCUUCGGUGAUACAUCACUUUUUUUUCUUCAAGGGAGAGAGGAAGACCUUAAAAUAUUCAUUCCACUUAAUGAAUAUGUUAAGGACCAGAUUAGAUUAUUUUCUAAGCUGAAAACUUCAUGUGCCUAGGAAAAGGUGCUCUGAAGAGCAGUGCUCACUCAGACUGUGAGAUCAUGUCUACAACUUUUAGAAACAGUGCUUUAUUGCAGCAGUCUUUUCUAUUUGACUUUUUCAUUUUUUAAAUGUCAUUAAAAUUUCAGAAAAUCAACUCACUCUGAAACAUUAAGGGUACCAGAUAUAUACUUCAGGAUUUCUGAUGAUGUUGAAAGACACAUUGAAACUGCUUUAGUAAAUGCUCUUUCUAGUGCUUUAAAAAUUUUCCAUUUCAAAAGUAAGUCAUUUCAUUAUAGGUAGUGUGAGACCAAAUAUUUAUGUCCAGUUGAAUAUUAAAUUUAUAUCAUUCAAAAGCAAACAAAACUAAAGUCAACAAUAUUGAAAAAGUUUUAAACCGAUUGAUUUCUCUCUAAAACCAUAUAUUUAUAGGCAAAUACUCAGAUUUAACAAAAUUAUUUUAAAGUCCUAGUACUCAUCAGCCUAACACAGAUAAACAAAUCUUGUUUCAAUUUAUGUCUUAUUUCAAAACACAGUUAACUGUUUUCUAAAGCUUUGCAUUUUCAAUUACAACCUACAGAGAUUUUGAGCCUCCUUUUCUCUGAUACUUGAAAUAGAGGGAGCUAGAAAACUUCAUCAUGUUUAAUCUGAUAAACCUGCUGCAAGAGCCAUAAUUUAGAGGACUUUUCUAAACGAACUGUGGGGAUCCGGGAUUUAGAAUUUCUUGAUCUAAACUUUAUGCUGCAUAGAACAAAUACCAGAAAUGUACAUUUCAUAGUAUAAAAUAUGAAACACUCAUUUUUACACUUUAUUAUCUACGGUAAUAUAUGCACCUUUCAGAAAUUCAAUGUGUGUUCAACUAAAAGCAUGUUAGAAUAAUUAUGAGUUGACAGAUUUUUUUGUUUUCUAGAAUUAAGAGUGUGUGGGGUUUUGUUUGUUUACAAAUAAUCAGACUAUAAUGCAAAAUAAUUGACGGUAAUGUUGCACUUGUUUAUGAAAGAUGUAGUUUAAGUUUUUCCGUGGGUGCACACACAGACACACAUACACACAAACUACUGCAUUGAGAAUCCUGGAGCUGUGUUGUCGACCAUAGGCCAAGCUGCUGAAGCUGUUGUUUUCGGUCAGGAAGAAAGUUAACCUGUCAUGAAGGUAUAAAAUAAUUUAGUAGUGAAUGUUUUUCUCUACCAUCCAUGUGCAAUUAUGCUCUUAAACUCUGUUACACUACAUGAAAGUAAGUGGACAUUCCAGAAUAUAGAUGUGAUUAUAUAAUCUUAAACUAAUUAUUAUUAAACCAGUGAUUGUUGAAAAUCAAUGAUGCAUUUGUUAUAGAGUAUAACUCAUCGUUUAUGUUUUAGGUGAUGUCAUCAUAACAAUAGAAGGUGAAUAAAGUAUUCCCAGUGAAUUUAUAUAGCAGUGAAGAAUUACAUGCCUUCUGUGGACAUUUUAUAACCCCAGAGACUUGGGAACGGAAAGAACAGGAACUUCAAAAACCUACUUAUCACACAGAAGCACACACCACCAUGGCUUACACCAGCAAAGGAAGAGAAAGAGGUAGAUAUCCAAUUGUCCCAGCACCAUCUAUUGAAAAAACCAUUCUUUCCUCCAUGGAAUGGUCUUGGCAAACGAAUGACCAUAUAUAUGGCCUUUAUCAGAUUGAGGAAGUUAAGUUACCUUCUAUUCUUAAUUGGCCAUUAAAUUCUGCCUUGAGGAAACAGUGAAAAGAGCCUGUACAUUAUUCUCCUCAGAACUUUAGUCAAGUCCUGCUCAGCUGCAAGCUGAGGGCAACCCCCCUGCUGUUCAUUCCUAGAGUUAAGUGAGUCACACAAGUUCAAGGGUCCACGAUGCAUCACACACCAUCAGGCAUGAAACCGUGUGGAAUCUUGCUUUGGAAUCUUGGAUUGACUGUAUUGUGGCUCUCAAAAGAGUUAAGACAUUGACUGGCAACAGAGUACAUAGUUUCAAUGGAAGUGGGAUCAAUGUCAUUCAUCUUCGUAUCAAUAUAAUCUUCAAUUGUCUUUUCUUCAUCUUCAAUUUCUUCUUUAAUAUCCAGCUUUAAGACAAAUGUUAAAACUUUGAGUGUCAAAUAAAAGGGAAACAAAUCAGAUAAAUUUAUAAA